rnacentral:rRNA from 1 species
GACGGAGGGUGCAAGCGUUGUCCGGAAUUAUUGGGCGUAAAGAGCGUGUAGGCGGCCCGAUUAGUCCGCUGUGAAAGUCCAGGGCUCAACCCUGGAAUGCCGGUGGAUACUGUCGGGCUAGAGUCCGGAAGGGGCGAGUGGAAUUCCUGGUGUAGCGGUGAAAUGCGCAGAUAUCAGGAGGAACACCAAUGGCGAAGGCAGCUCGCUGGAACGGUACUGACGCUGAGGCGCGAAAGCGUGGGGAGCGAACAGG